AAUAUGAACGUACGGACCAGAUUCUCGCUGCAAGGAGAACUUCUCCCGAACUUCAGGAUCCCUACCUGACUGUAGAAGUGACUUCAACUUAAUCUGCUAACCAGUGAUGUGUGAGGAUGCUGAGGGAGUACAGAUGCAGGCAUUGCUGUUGUUCUAUGAGUUUUGCAGAACACUGAUAUCUAUGGACUCUAACAUGGACUUCAUUUAAAGAAAUCCACGGAUCAUUAAUGGACAAAAACAUGAAUCAGUUUAUGUUGUGGCAUACAAAUCCUAGCACUUUGGGAAAGCAUCAAGUACAAGUUUUUGAAGACCCUGAGGCCUACCACCAUUAUGCAUUCAAGAUUGAGUUUGAAUAACUUCAUCAAGACUUAGAUCCUCUUCAAAAGCCUCAAGUCUCAUCUGCAUUAAAGCUCUCCAUUGAACCCUCUCACAAAAGUAAAAGCUUACAGGGACUAAAAUCCACUAAUAGAUUCCAUUUUAUAUUCUUUCCUCUGAUUUCUUUUCAGUUUCCUUGGCCUUAGGGUCUUUCAUAUUGCUUAUGUUCUUUUAGAUUGGAGCCAAAGAAACAGUGCCUGCCAAAAGAAUGUAUGUCCUGUGGCCAUAAGUUUUCAUCAGUAGAGAAGCAUAAACUUGGUGUGAUGAGUUUACAGUCAGGUAUUUUGCUGUAUCCUAUAAAAACUUGAAUCAACAAUAAGAAAUGAGAAUGAAUUGAUCAAGUUAUACCAUGAGUGGUUUAGAGAAAAGAACCUUCCACCUAAAAGUUAAAAGUUAAUGGUUCUUAUCUGCCUGGGAAAGUCACAUAACCUCUCUGGACCUUAAUUUCAUCUGUAAAGUAAAUCUAGUCUUAUUCCCCUGCCUACCUCACAGGGUUGUUGUGAGGGUCAAAAGAAAUAAUAUAUAUAAAAAGGCCUUUUCUGUAAAAUGUGUAGUAUAGACAUAGAGUCCUGUUACACUUUAUGCCUUCAGUUCUUGGGCCUGGCAAGGUAGAUGGUGUAAGCACACUGAAAGGAGGCAAUGUAUCCAGGUUGGAUACAUGGAAACAAGGCUGUGUUAAUUUUUGUUUUCUCUGAAUACAGGGAGUACUCUUGUGGACUGAUCCUAAGAAGGAAGAAGACUGUACAUUUCUCUAAUAUUUUAAGUUAGCAUUUAUAAUGCUCUAGAGCAGUUAAAUAUUGUAAUUGUACUUAUGGCUUGCAACAUUUGUUUACUAAGUUGUGACCUGCAUUUUUUUUUAAAUGAAGGAGCAUAGAGCAGAACAUUUUACACAGCAGCAUCCAACGUGGUAAGAGUAAGUAUGUUUCAGUUAUAUGUGUGUGUGAGUGUGUGUGUGUGUUUGUAUUUGUGUCAUUAAAUAAAGUGCAUUUUUUUCCCCUAUCA